rnacentral:lncRNA from 1 species
AUAGAUCUCCAUUACAUAUGACCAUCUUUGUGUAAAAAGUCAUAGCUCUUCUGAUGUGAGUCUUUACAUGAUUUAAGACUGAGCCCUAAAACCUACCUGGCUUAAAUCCUCUAUUUUCAGCUUGUGCUUAAACCCUUCUACUUGGCUUGAAGUUUUUCUCUUAGAGUUUCUAUUUGGGAUUACAUAGCAGAAGUGCAGCCAUUCUUUCAGCCCACCCAUCCACUAUUAAAUGUAAAUGUUAAGAAAGUAGUAAAUUUAGUCAUCUCAUUAAAAUAUCAACAACAUAAAUAUAUUUGUCAUAUGAUCUAGUUGCUAUUUUUGAAAGCUGAGCAAAGGGGCCUAUGGUAGAAGAAUCAAAGAACACGUGAAAUUUGAAGAUGAGAAAGGGAACCUAGACCAUUCAUCAUUUUGGGGGUAACAGGUAUAAAUCAUAUAUUGUACCUAAGACUUUGGAUUCAUGGGAUAGAACAAAGUAACCAGAGGCUGCAGGAUAAAAGGAUACUAAGAGAAAUAAAUGGAUGAGGAACAACAAAGCAGGGUGGGAAGUAAGAAAGUAAUGCAAAACUCACCUGGAUUUACCAUAUUCUACUUUUUUCAUCCAUUUGCUUCAGUCUAGUUCAACCUUUAAUUCCCCAUGAUAUAUGAAACCUGGUGUCUCCGUCUUCCUUCAAAAAUACUGGUCCAAAUUAUUCUUAUGGACAAAAGAGUACAUUUAUAAAUCAACAUUUCAGCCCUGUAAAAAACUGGUGCAUAGUUUUAAUGAUAAUGUCAGUGUGAUUUGUAUUCCAUCCACUUUUUAAAUAUUCCAUAGAAAUUAACCUUGUAUCUUAAAGAAAAAGUUAAAUUACAUAACAGAUAAACAGUGUUUCAGGAAACCACAUAAAUUAUUUCAACCCAGUCUUCCCCUACAGAGAGAGAAACUGAGGCACCAAGGAAGGAAAAGUCCCAAGGCAUGUGAGGUCAGUCAGGCUCCAUCUACCUCUUGAAGUACCUUCACUGCCAUUUAGGGACUUAAUAUGCCAAAAUCCAGUGUAAAAAUGCCAGUGAUGAAAAACUCAAGGAAGGGGCAAAUGGAAACAAGACGUGACAACUUUAGGCUUGAGUGAAACUUCAGACAUCAAAUUUUGCUAGAAUGACUUUAGAUUAUUGUAUUUUCCAUUUUAGUAAAAUUUUAGUAAAUAUAAUCUCAAAAGUAGAUUUUUUAGUAAAUUUAAUCUCAAAAGAAGGAAUAAACGUAUUUUCCUUGUGCACCUGUUAUGCCAUUAAGAUUAUAACAAUAAUUUAUGCUGUGAACUGUCUGUGUUGCAUUGUUCAGUCUUCUCCAGAGUUGUAAUUAAAGC